rnacentral:rRNA from 1 species
AAGUCGUAACAAGGUUUCCGUAGGUGAACCUGCGGAAGGAUCAUUAAAGAGUAAGGGUGCUCAGCGCCCGACCUCCAACCCUUUGUUGUUAAAACUACCUUGUUGCUUUGGCGGGACCGCUCGGUCUCGAGCCGCUGGGGAUUCGUCCCAGGCGAGCGCCCGCCAGAGUUAAACCAAACUCUUGUUAUUAAACCGGUCGUCUGAGUUAAAAUUUUGAAUAAAUCAAAACUUUCAACAACGGAUCUCUUGGUUCUCGCAUCGAUGAAGAACGCAGCGAAAUGCGAUAAGUAAUGUGAAUUGCAGAAUUCAGUGAAUCAUCGAAUCUUUGAACGCACAUUGCGCCCCUUGGUAUUCCGAGGGGCAUGCCUGUUCGAGCGUCAUUACACCACUCAAGCUAUGCUUGGUAUUGGGUGCCGUCCUUAGUUGGGCGCGCCUUAAAGACCUCGGCGAGGCCUCACCGGCUUUAGGCGUAGUAGAAUUUAUUCGAACGUCUGUCAAAGGAGAGGACUUCUGCCGACUGAAACCUUUAUUUUUCCAGGUUGACCUCGGAUCAGGUAGGGAUACCCGCUGAACUUAAGCAUAUCAAUA